ACUCCUACGGGAGGCAGCAGUGGGGGAAUAUUGCACAAUGGGGGGAAAACCCUGAUGCAGCCAUGCCGCGUGUGUGAAGAAGGCCUUGGGUUGUAAAGCACUUUCAGUAGGGAGGAAGGUAGUGUAGUUAACACCUGCAUUAUUUGUACGUUACCUACAGAAGAAGCACCGGCUAACUCCGUGCCAGCAGCCGCGGUAAUACGGAGGGUGCGAGCGUUAAUCGGAAUUACUGGGCGUAAAGCGCAUGCAGGCGGCCUGUUAAGUCAGAUGUGAAAGCCCGGGGUCUUAACCUCGGAAUUGCAUUUGAAACUGGCAGGCUAGAGUCUUGGUAGAGGGGGUUAGAAUUUCAGGUGUAGCGGUGAAAUGCGUAGAGAUCGUGAACGGAAU
rnacentral:rRNA from 1 species